CUCCUCGUGCGUCCCCGCCUACACGUGGAUGUUCAAGCUAUCCUCAAGCAGGAAAGCUUCUGCAACAGACUGAUGGGUAGUGGAUGCAGUGCAGCUCAUUUCUGUGGCAGAUUUUCUUCUGGUUUGACGCAUGAGAGAAAAUCAAGAUAAACCAUGAGAACACAUCAGUCAGCAAGAUUCUGAGUAUUGCCAACUUGGAAUAUAUCUAUCUUGGCCCCAGAAGAAUCCUACAAAGAGGUUAAACACAAUAUCUGUUGGAUAGAAAUUCUUCAAAUAUGAUCACAUUCACCCAGGCUGUUUUUACUUGUUUUCAAGUUGUUAAUGUUAUGACAUUUUGCACAGAAUAAGAGAUUCGUGUUGCUUCAGAUGCAUUUUUACUACUGGAAAUAUUUCAUCUAAUUUAAGCUGAAUAGUUGAGCAGCACAUGCAGGAGGUAGAAUACAUGACACCCAUUCGCUUACUGUAAGUUUACAAGACAAUGACCUGCUUUGUUCACACAUGGGCUUAAUUUGAUAUCACACAGUCUUUAUGCUAGAGAGUUGGCAGGUUAAAAUCCACUUACUGGCUGAACUAAGUGAGUCAGACAUUUGGAUUCCUAUGUGUAACUCUGCCCGGGAAUGUGUAGUGCAUAUGUGAAAACAGCUUUGCAUGCAAGGACCUGUAACUCAAGAAUUCCUAAAUUUAUGACAAUGGCAAAAUUUUCCAGAAAUGUAAAACGGGAUAAAAUGAUGAAGAAAUUUGCAAUUUUGACCAAGAGGUCAAAAUUGUUGCAUUGUAAUAUUAUGCAAAAACACUUUUUCGCAGCCUUGAAAUAAAGGAGACUGUGAUCAUAUUUUAUUUUGGAUACUGAACUGGUGGCAAUAAUCUCUGCUGGCAGAUCUCUAUAUAAGAGACAGGACAGACAAGGGUGUAAAUUACAAUACUGGAAAAAUUGCGAAACAGUAAUUCUAGUAACUGAACUCAUACUUUUCUGCUCCAUUUGAGUAGUCAAAGCACUUUUAGAAAUGUGAAGCUAGAGACUCCAGUAACCAUAGUUAACUGUAUUCCAGGGCUAGAGCAGACAACACUGGAGAAAAUUUGAUACUGCUGUCUAAAAGUAAGCAUAUAUUCAGUGAGAUUGCAAAUCAC